UACAGAGGUCUCAAGCGUUGUUCGGAUUCAUUGGGCGUAAAGGGUGCGUAGGCGGCGCGGUAAGUCGGGUGUGAAAUCUCGGAGCUUAACUCCGAAACUGCAUUCGAUACUGCCGUGCUUGAGGACUGGAGAGGAGACUGGAAUUUACGGUGUAGCGGUGAAAUGCGUAGAGAUGUGGAGGAACACCAGUGGCGAAGGCGACUCUUUGUCCUGUAACUGACGCUGAGGCGCGAAAGCGUGGGGAGCGAACAGG
rnacentral:rRNA from 1 species